GAUGGAUUUCACCAAGUUGCAUAUUGCGUUGUGUGUUGCUAUCUGGAUGGUCAGUUUUUUCGAACCGAUCUAUUAUAGUUUCCACCUUUGUAUGACCAAACGAGAAAAUUUUUCCACUAGGUGAAAACAGAAUAAUAGCAACACGAGCAUUACAAAGUGUGCAAAGCUCAUUAGCUUUUUUGAAAAGACCAUUUUUUCUUUUACAAAACGUAACUUGAAGAUUUUUUUCUUUCUCUAUUUUAACCAUUUUUGUUUUUUGACGACCUUUGGUCUUUCUCAUUGUUUCUCUAUAUUGAUAACUGGAAAAAUAAAAUAUUGGAUGGUGUUUGUAUGAUGAUGACUUUGUAUAUUUAUAGCUAAAUAUCAUAUACCGGCAGUUAAUGUUUGUAGUUAUCUAAAAGUAAUUUUAAUUCAAUUUUUGUAGGUCUUAUAUUUGAAUAUCAAUUUACCAUUUUGAUACAUUUGAAUUUCUUUAUAUUCCAUCAAAAUAAGGUAUGAAAUUCAUAUAUAUAUUUGACUCUAAUAUUUUCAUUUAAUUUGUGAUAUGUAUCAUAAUCUGCUAUAUUUGACUAUUUAUGAUAUUUAUAUUUUUUAUACAUAUAACAACGUCAUUAUAACUAGUAGAUAUAUCACAGUGUAUAAAUGUUAUAAAAAUUAUAAUACUUGACAAAUUAUGAAACUAGACAUGUGUAUCAAUUGACCCUCAAAAGCUUUAACAUUAGAAGAAAAUAUUAAACUUAAAAGUACACUAUUAUAUUCUCCUAUACUUUUUUAUAAAAGAAAAUUUAAGGAUAAGUAUAUAUGCUUGUAUUGCAUGCUCUUAUAUUUAUGCUAAUAGAGACAUCAUACAGUGUAUAGGCUCCUUAUAUUUACAGUGUUUAAUAGAGACAUCAUACAGUGUAUAGUUACAUUCUUCACAUAUAUAUGCGGCCUCAGGUCCAAAUAAACCACCAUUACAACAUCCACAAAAAAACUGCACCUAUAAACACUUCAAAUCACCCCAUCUAAUUACUGAAAUAUACUCAUCUUCAACAUUUGGAAAAUACAUAUGAAGUCUAUGUCAGAUAACAACACUUCCUAACAUAUACAUUAACACAUUUUCAUAUCCCGUGCAAAACACAGAUCUCCCCCAAUUUAUAUUUGCAUAACAAUAUUCUAUGUCAUCAUAACUAAUAAAUAUAUCAAAGUGUAUAAAUGUUAGUAAGAAAAAUUAUAAUACUUCACAAAAUAUGAGACCAGACAUGUGUACUAAUUGAAAAAAAGCUUUAGCAUUUUUUAAAAAAUAUAUUAAACUAAAAAGUUGGCGAUUAUAUUCUCCGAUAAUCUUUUUUAUAAAAUAAUAUUAAGGAUCUGUAUGUUUGCUAUGUAUUAUAUUUUAUUAUAUUUUUUCUAAUAGAAAUAUAAACGUUUAUAAAUGGCUCCUUAUCCCUAUAAUGACAGCAAAUAAUCGAAUAAGUGAACACAGUCUUAUAUUAAAAUCUAUUUAUAUAAUAGAAAAUGUUACAACAUCAUUCUUAAAAGAAGAAGAAAAACACUACAGAGUAAAUUGAGCAAAAAUAUUAUCAUAACAUAAUUCUAAAUAAACAAAAGAAAAAAAAACACAUCAACAUAACAAAGAAGAAAUGAGGAAAUCUGCAAAAGAUGAUAAACACAUAAUAAUAAUACUUAGAAGAGAUGAAGAUAACUUAAAACAGGAUAUUGUCUAAAGACUUCACUUGUAUCACAUCAGAAAUGAUUAAUAUUUAAUCAGAUCUAGGGUGAGGAGGAUGGCCAUCAUGAUGUUCAUUUCCAUAUUCGUUUUCUUCUUGGGAACUUGAAUUUUGGUUUUCAUUUGGAUUAGGCUCUAGAAUGUAAUUGUAUGUGGAACAAAUCCCUCCGCAUGACUUUAGUUUCCAAAUGGUAAUGGAUGAUUAGGGAGAGCCAUGUUAUGGUUGUAGAACACAUUCAUGUCCACUAUUCUUCUUUGAUAUUAAUACCACCAUUAACCCCAAUACGAGCAUUACUAGAGCUUCCCACAUAGAAGCUUGGAUGAGAAAGCAUGUUUGAAAGCUUUUGAAAGCUUCGUGUGUCACUUGUUUUCUCAAAUUUUCAUGUUUACCUUUGAAUUCUUUGGCUUGACCUAAGUUCCCAAUGGAUUCUUUUAACCAAUUCUCAGACAUUUUAUAUUUUGUUUCCUUAUUUUCUUCAAUUCUUCAUUCAUUUUUGCUCUGAUUCUAGUUGGUUUAUCAUUUGCAAAUAUAAAAACUCUUAUUUUAAUUUUUUUUGUGUGUGUAAAACCCUAGUUGGUAAUACCUCAAAUUAUUCAACACAAAUAGACAAGAAUAUCAAUUAUUGCAUCAAAGUGUACACCAUAUUAUUAGCAUUUAUUUUGCCAAUUUAUGAGUAUAUCUACUCUAAACAUGGAGAAAUAUGUAUUUUAUAUAUUAUAUACAUUAAUUAAUUAUGACAACUAAUAUAAUCAUAAAUAUUGAAAAAUGAAUACAACUGUGUAAAUUAAGCCUUUAUAUUUUCUCAAACUUAAUAAUAUUUUGGAAUAACUUAAAUUAUGCAACAGAACUUUGUAUUGAGGCAUGUGUACCAAUCCCGGCCAUCAUGAUGAUGUUCAUUUCCAUAUUCAUUUUCUUCUUUGGAAGUCGGAUUUUGGUUUUCAUUUGGAUGAGGCUCUGGAAUGUAAUUGUAGCAUGGAAUAAAUCCCUCAGCAUACCUAUAGCUUCAAGAACUUAAAAUUGUUUAGAAAAUACAAUAUCAUAAAUCAAGCAUAACAGUGCUGAUCAGACUGAUCAAGCAGUGAAGAUUUUUGGUUUUCACUGCUUGAUCAGUCUGAUCAGCACUGUUAGAGCAUCUGCAUUGAAGGUUCAAUGCAGAAGUUCACACAUUUUCCCAAAAAAAAAAUAUUAAAAUAUUUUAUUUUUGGUGAACUUAGCUCUUGCAGGGUCACUGGGAGUAUCACGGGCCUCACGCCAUGUGGCGGCCCGUGAUUGGUCCGCUUAAUUUUUUUUUUUUUUUUAAAAGAAAUCAAACAGAAAAGUUAAAAAAAAAAUAAUAAAAAAUUAAAGUUAUGAACCUCCCUUAAGGUUCAUUGAUGCUGAUGCCCUUAUGCUUGAUUUAUGAUAUUGUCUUUUCUAAACAUAUUUAAGUUCUUGAAGCAUCGAUGUACACUUCGAUCAAAAAAGGAAGAAGCAUUCGAUGUACACUUCUUUAUCAUAUAGUACGCGCAUACAAUAUUAUAUUCUCCAAUACUUUUCUUAUGGGGAUAUAUAUAUAUAUGCUAUGUAUUAUAUGUUAUUAUAUUUGGGCUAUUUUGAAAAUAUAUCAUAUAUUUUGUUUCUUGGAGCUGCAUCUCUUGACGUCUCGUCUUAUGAUUUCUUGUGUUCAAAAGGUUCACAAGCAAGGAAGCCUGAUGGGUAGAGCUAUUGACCUAUUCCAACUAUAAAAUGAUCUCCUCUCCGAGAUAGAAUGCAUGUUCAAUAUGGAAGGACUUCUCCGAGAACACUAAAAAGGGUGGAGGAUCUUUGUACACCGAUAGUGAGAACGAUAUGAUGGUUGUUUUUCUCUGAUUCUAGUUGGUUUAUCAUCUGCAAAUAUAAAAACUCUUAUUUAUUUGAUUUUUUGUGUGUAAAAGCAUAGUUGGUUAUCUCAUAUUAUUUUUAAAUAGAGCAAAUUAGCUGAAUAUACUAAACAAAGUCAACAAAAAAUAACUAUACUGAGAGUGUUUAAAAUAACUCAACACAAGUCAACAAAAAAAUAUCAAUUAUUGCAUCAAAGUAUACACCAUAUUAUUAGCAUUUAUUUUCCAUGUUAUGAGUAUAUAUACUCUAAAUAUGGAGAAAUAUGUAUUUUAUAUAGUAUAUACAUUAAUUAUGACAGGUAUUAUAAUCAUAAAUAUUGAAAAAUGAAUAGCACUGUGUAAAUUAAGGCUUUUAUAUUUUCUCAAACUUAAUAAUAUUUUUGAAUAACACAAUAAAUUUUCCUAAGUAAGAUGAUUAUUCAGAUUUCAAAUUGUAGAUAUUUGAUGGAUUUCAUCAAGUUUGAUGUUGAGGAGUGGGCUGAGAGGUGGAUUGUCAAUGUUUUCGGUCGAUUUGUUAUAGUUUCCAGCUUUCGAUGACCAAAAGAAUAGAUUUGUUCACUAGGUGAAAACACAAUAACAGAGAUAUGACCGUCUCACCCAGCUCACUAGCUUUUUUUAAAACACCAUUUUCUCUUAAGAAUGUAACUUGAUAGUUAUUUUUACUCCAUUUGGACAAUUUUUAUUUUUUGACAACCUUUAAUUUUUGCAAAAAUAAAAUAUUGUUUGGUGUUUGAAUAUCAAUUCACUAUUUUGAUACAAUAUCUUUAUAUAUAUAAGCUAUGAAAUUCAUAUUUAUUUGACUAUAUAUAUUAUUUUCAUUUAAUUUGUUACAAUGUAUCAUAAUCUCAUAUUUUGGUUAUUUAUGAUAUUUUUAUUUAAAUAAAGAUAGCAAUGUCAUUAUUACUAAUACUUGAUUUGUAAGGGAUCGUAUUGCUCGAUCAGAGAAAAAUCAAAAAAUGGACUGUAGGUGUGGAGAAAACUACUAAAGUCAAGGGAUCUAGUGAGGAAAUUCCAUCGAGUUGAAGUCCAGAACGGUCGGAGAACAUCAUUCUGGUUUGACUCUUGGACGAAGUUCGAUUGUUUAAAAGUUCUGUUGGGUGAUCGGGGAGGGAUUAUGGGAAUUAGCAAUGAUCUCACUGGGGCAGAUGUUAUCGUGCGACACCGUAGAAGACAACAUCAGGUUUCUAUUUUGAAUGAGAUUGCAGAUGAGAUUGAGAAACUCAAAAACAGAGAAGUGCAAGGAGAAGAGAAAAUAUCACAUACGAGCACACCCCCGUAUUUAUUCUGAGUACAUUUUGUUUUUUUUAGAUAUUAGAAAUAAUUAAUCUAUUUAAAUAUAUAAUUGCCAUAUUAGAUCUACGUGUCGUACACCCCCGCACACAUACGGAAGCUUCUUUGCAUUUUUAUUUCAUAGUAAUUUGUAUCUUUAUUUCUUUAUACUUUUAUAGUAAUUGUUUCAUUCGGCUGGUUUGUAUUUGUGUGGAUUUCUUUGUAAUACAGCACCAAUCCUUAUUUUCCCCUCUCCCUCUCUUAAUUAGUUUUUUUUUUUAUCUCGGUUGUAUAGUUUUAAAAAUCAUUUUUGUUAUCUAAUGUCAUUGGCCCAAUGAUUUCUUUUCCUCUUCUUCUCCACCUAAGCAGAACAUCUCUCCUCUCCACCUAAGCAGAGCUUGAAAAUAUUUGUCUAGCUUCCGGCUACAUUCAGCGCAAGAGCAUCCUGAAAUUUUAGAAAGAUAUAAUAGUAUAGUUAGGGGUGAAAAUAUUUUAGGCCUCAAUUAAAAUAUGAAAUAUACUAUGGAUUAGUGUAUGUUGACAUUACCUCUUAUUUGGUCUUUUAGUUUAUCUGAUGCUGAUGUACAUAGACUUCUUCCUUAUCUGAUACUGGAUUUUGCCAUGCAGCCCCAUGCAAAUCCAGUUCUUUUAUCGAGUAGAGUGAAGGAAAGUGGUGAGUUUGUAGAUUAUAUUCUCCUGGACCCAGCCUGUUCACGUGUUAUAGACAUGGAUAGGUUUCCAAGGGUCUUGCAAGGUCAAGAAAUUUGCUCCCUUCGUUCAUUCCCUCAACUUGCUGGUUUCAGUCUAACUGCUGCUUCAGAAAACUCUAAUCUUGGAUACACCUGUCCAUUUGCGUAUACAAGUCAAGUUUCUAUCCACCAGCGUCACAAGGAAUAAGGAGUAUGCAUAUUCCAUAUCAGAAUCCUUACAAUGCGGGAGACAAACCUUCUCGUGCAGUAAACUUUGAUGCACAAAAUGAAGGGAAAACAGAAAGGUGGCGGCGACCUUAAUAUGAAUGCUUCAACAAGAGGCUGUAGACUUCUUGGAUUCUCCUUACAUGUGGAGACACCUGCAUCUAACCUGAGCAAAAGGAUUUGCACAGAAAAAGGAAGCCUUGUGCGGAGAGCUGUUGAUCUAUCCCACUAAACGGAUACAAUGAUCUCCUUACAGAGCUUGAACGUUUGUUUAACAUGGAAGGGCUUCUCAGGGACCCUGAAAAAGGAUGGAGGUUCUUGUACACCGAUAGUGAGGACGAUAUGAUGGUCUUUGGCAAUGAUCCAUGGCAGUAAGUCUGCCCUUAUCUUUAAAGCUCAGUCAAGACCUGUUAGCUGCUAACUUGAAAAUGAUUUAUUUGUGCUGUAUGGACAGUGAAUUCUGCAACGUGGUGUUGAAGAUACAUUUAUAUACGAAAGAGGAAGUUGAGAAUGCGAAUGGUGAUAGCAAGAGUUGUUUAGCAGCUCUCAUGAUGGAAGCAUCAAAGUCAUCUUCUGUGAGCCAGCCUGAUUCUUCUCCAACUGUAACUAGAGUUUGAUUAACAAACCAGAAAGAAGCGGUUUUACCUUUUUGCUUUCAACUGUGUUUUGCUUACAAAAGGCAUAAAUUAAAUAUUUCACCUUGAUCUUUGUCUUUCUCUUUGUUUGUUUGUGUUAUUUCUGGUCUUCGUGUACUUCAAUCGUUUUACUCUUAGAGAGUUUGUGAGUUUAUGGGAUGUGUGGACCGUAAGAGUUUGGUUGGAUUGAGGUUUUCAGUUUGCUAUUGAUGUGCAUGGCUUGAAGUUUUCAGUAAAAUAAAUUUAUAUUAUAUGUUUUUAUUAAAUUUCCUUUUUUUUUAAAUGCUACAACAUCAUUCUUUUAAAAAUAAAUUAGAUAAAAAUGAGGAUAACAACAAUAUAAUUCUGAAUAAGCAAAAGAAAGGAAAAAUAAAAACUACAACAUUGGAUUUAGAAAAACACAACAACAUAACAAGAAGAAAUGAGGAGUUCUGGUAAAGAAGGUAAACACAACAGAGAUGUGGAUAAACUAGAACAUGAUUUUGUCUAAAAACUUCAACUGCAUCACAU